rnacentral:lncRNA from 1 species
UGUUCGACCCCAGUUUAAGGGGUUAAAUUGAAGUUCACAUGAAUCUGGAUUUAAUGAGGUCGAACUAUUCACUUACAAGUGAACAAUAAUCUAUAACGUCUCUUAACUUUUUUGUCACUGCUAAUACGACAAGCUUUUUAUUGAUCUAAUAUACUAUUGAUUGAUACAUAAAAUUAAGAAUGGAAAUGGGGAAUGUGUCAAAGAGACAACAACCUGACCAUAUAGCAGACAACAGCCAA